rnacentral:rRNA from 1 species
UACGGAGGAUCCAAGCGUUAUCCGGAAUCAUUGGGUUUAAAGGGUCCGUAGGCGGUUUAGUAAGUCAGUGGUGAAAGCCCAUCGCUCAACGGUGGAACGGCCAUUGAUACUGCUAGACUUGAAUUAUUAGGAAGUAACUAGAAUAUGUAGUGUAGCGGUGAAAUGCUUAGGGAUUAUAUGGAAUACCAAUUGCGAAGGCAGGUUACUACUAAUGGAUUGACGCUGAUGGACGAAAGCGUGGGUAGCGAACAGG